rnacentral:rRNA from 1 species
UACGUAUGGUGCAAGCGUUAUCCGGAUUUACUGGGUGUAAAGGGAGCGCAGGCGGCACGGCAAGCCUGAUGUGAAAGCCCGCGGCCCAACCGCGGGACUGCAUUGGGAACUACCGGGCUGGAGUGCCGGAGAGGUAGGCGGAAUUCCUAGUGUAGCGGUGAAAUGCGUAGAUAUAUGGAGGAACACCGGUGGCGAAAGCGGCCCUCUGGCCUGUAACUGACACUGAGGCUCGAAAGCGUGGGGAGCAAACAGG